GACCUGGGAGGGGUUUAUUUGGCUUCCAUGUUCUGCAUCACAGAACAUGUGAUGUGGGAUGCCAAGGCAUAAACUGAAACCAGGCGUGCGCCUGAAGUGGAUCCCUCUUCCAUGGUGGCUAGACAAUUACUAGAAACUACAAAGUCCUCCAAACUGAAACUCCAAGGUUGCCCAUCAAGAGCUUCGGAAACAUUCUGUGAUUUCAGCGGGUACGAUAUGGUCAAAACCAUCUUUAUUUUUCUGGAAGAAAAAGGGAAAACAGUUUACCCAGCACGUCAACACAGUACUGAGACCUUUCAUAUUGCCAAUCCUGUACCAUGUCAAUCACCUCUGCCUUUCCUUCCUCCCCUCUUUUUUCUCUUUAACUGUCUCAGAUACCCUCUCUCCUCACUUAUUAUCCCUUCUCUUCUUUCUAUCCAUCUUUCUGCCUCUCUCUCUAACCUCAUCUUUCUCCUCUCCUGCUCUGUCACCCCACCACAGAAUUCUUCCUCUUCCUCUCUCCUCUUCCCCCUUAUUGCCUGUCUUCUCCUCCUUCGAGUUUGAUUUCAUUUUCCCCCCUCUGAGAGCCUUCCACGUGUGAGAAGAGGCGAGUUUGACCUCAGAGAGCUCCAAGAUUCCACCAGUCCUCUCCGCAUCCUCCGGAAGACGAGAGGGCUCCGCUCCGAGUGCACAUCUAUAAAUCACUCCCAUUAA